GGUGACGGCAUUUUGGUUUCAAAAUCCAGGAGUUUUUUUUUUUUUUUUGCUUUUAUUUUUUUUAUUAUCAGAAGCAACUCCCUUGCAAUUUUCAAAAGAUGCUACAACAGAGCUAGGAUCCCGGGUAUGAUAAUGAUGAUGAUUUUAUUUUAUUUUUUUUCAGUUUUUGGGGGUGAACAAGAGAAGAAG
rnacentral:ribozyme from 14 species